UUGGAUUAAUUUUGAUAUUUUUCAUGAAUUAAAUAUUUUUGUGCAUAUUUUUAAUUGUUUAAAAAUACUUCUCACUUUUCAAUAAUAGUGAAAUUUUUUGUUUAAGGUCCUUUAACCUUGUUUGACCUAGGAUAAAUCUCUUAGCCAUUUAUUUGGUGUUUUGAAGGGAUUUUAGGUUUUGAACAAAUUAAAAUAUGUUUUAAUUCAUUUUUAAAUUGAUUAAAUGUUUAAAAAUAUUGUUGAACCAUUUU
rnacentral:lncRNA from 1 species